CAGUUCGUGGGGUGGAGGAAGCAGCCAGGGCUACCAGGAUGCACUUGGUAGUCUAGACUAUCCACCCGAGGAGACCAGCACUACACGCUACGCUAUUACUACUAGAGGGGUAAGGCCAACACUGUCACAGCUGCCGUGGUCACCGUGGAGGAGUGAUCAACGGAGAUUUCACACUCCUGUUAGCUCCCGCGACGCCUACAACAGGAGAUUGCAUCGACGCCGACAAGUGGGCUGGUGCUUGAUACUAACUGGUUUUCUGUUCCUGAUAGCUUCAGCUGUCACUGUUCUUGUGGUUGAAGAGCAUCCAAGACCAUGUCAUAGUGGUCCAGUAGUUGGUACUGGUAGAAGCGACCUGCUCUGAACCCAUAAUGCCCUGGAUUAUGUAACUGAUUGGUAUCUAAGUGGGUGGCGAUCUUGCUUCUUAGAACCCUUUCCAAGGUUUUUUUUUAUAUGGGACGUUAGUGAUGUAUGCAAUUGCUUUAAUGCCCCUUAUAUGGAGGGAGGCUAUGUCUGUUGUUUCUAGUGUCUGGGGUGACCCCUGUGUCCAUAAUUCCUCUCCAUAGAUUAGUGGAUCCAUGACAAAGUUGACCCCCCUGUGACCAUGCUCCCUCGCCAUAGAUUAGUGGAUCCAUGACUAGGUUGAUCCCUGUGUCCAUGCUCCCUCGCCAUAGAUUAGUGGAUCCAUAUUCAUCAGAUGACAGAAGGGUGGAGGAGCGAAGUUCUCUUCAGCUGUCAUUGAAGACACUACCACACCCCAGGACGAGUAUCGACGGCCUUGUAGCUUGUUCGGUCCCGUAGCUAGAUUGCUAGCGGACCCAGCUCGCACACUGAGGUCCAUGGCCCGAUUUCCAUUACUGGUGGAAAGAUUACGACAUGUAUCCUGGAGAUGACUGCUCUUUCUGUUCACCUAUCAGUAAAAUAGGUACCUGGGCAUUAGUCGACAAGUGUGGAGGGUCUCAUCCUGGGGUCAAAAUUGACCUAACUUCCCAAAAUACUCUGCAUGAAAUGUGAUGACAGCUAAGCCUGUAUACAUUGUACAUGUGCUUGUAGAAAUAAAUAUUUAUAAUUAGAACUGCAGUGCCUAUUCAGGUUAGGUGGGGUCCUUAGCAUAGGCUGUGGUAUCUUAGUGUGAUAAUCAAGGUGUCAUCAGCACGAGGGCAGAUGAGACUCCACGAGCCAUUGUUCCAAGUAUUAGUGCCUGGAUUUGGGCCAGGAGCUGUGCCUCAACCAGGACCACAGAGGGUGAGGAAUUGUUAUAUUACAGCCUGUCUUGUAGAUGAAUGGUUCAGAGAACCGACAUGUUGAUAAAUUACACAUGUGCAACUCUUGGGUAUCUUUAUUGAGGAAACGUUUCGCCACACAGUGGCUUCAUCAGUCCAUACAUAGGAGAAACUUGAAGAACAGGAGGAGAAUGAGGUAAUCAGUCCCUCAACCUUGAGUCGAUGUGUUCAGUCCAUCAAUCUU